rnacentral:rRNA from 1 species
AUACGGAGGAUCCGAGCGUUAUCCGGAUUUAUUGGGUUUAAAGGGUGCGCAGGCGGCCAUUUAAGUCAGCGGUUAAAUCGUGGGGCUCAACCCCAUUCUGCCGUUGAUACUGGGUGGCUUGAUUGCGGUCGAGGUUGGCGGAAUUCGUUGUGUAGCGGUAAAAUGCAUAGAUAUGACGAAGAACACCGAUUGCGUAGGCAGCUGACCAGACCGCAAAUGACGCUCAUGCACGAAAGUGCGGGGAUCGAACAGGAUUAGAUACCCUGGUAGUCCGCACAGUAAACGAUGAAUACUUGUUUUCGGCGAUAUAAUGUCGGAGGCAAAGCGAAAGCGAUAAGUAUUCCACCUGGGGAGUACGCCGGCAACGGUGAAACUCAAAUGAAUUGGCGGGG